GACGAUCGCUGGCUGCGUGCUUAACACAUGCAAGUCGAACGCUGAAGCUCUGGUGCUUGCACCGGGGUGGAUGAGUGGCGAACGGGUGAGUAACACGUGAGUAACCUGCCCCUGACUUCGGGAUAAGCCCGGGAAACUGGGUCUAAUACCGAAUAUGACCGUUCCUCGCAUGAGGGAUGGUGGAAAGUUUUUUCGGUUGGGGAUGGGCUCGCGGCCUAUCAGCUAGAUGGUGGGGUAAUGGCCCACCAUGGCGACGACGGGUAGCCGGCCUGAGAGGGCGACCGGCCACACUGGGACUGAGACACGGCCCAGACUCCUACGGGAGGCAGCAGUGGGGAAUAUUGCACAAUGGGGGAAACCCUGAUGCAGCGACGCAGCGUGCGGGAUGACGGCCUUCGGGUUGUAAACCGCUUUCAGCAGGGAAGAAGCCCCUUGGGGUGACGGUACCUGCAGAAGAAGUACCGGCUAACUACGUGCCAGCAGCCGCGGUAAUACGUAGGGUACGAGCGUUGUCCGGAAUUAUUGGGCGUAAAGAGCUCGUAGGUGGUUGGUCACGUCUGCUGUGGAAACGCAACGCUUAACGUUGCGCGUGCAGUGGGUACGGGCUGACUAGAGUGCAGUAGGGGAGUCUGGAAUUCCUGGUGUAGCGGUGAAAUGCGCAGAUAUCAGGAGGAACACCGGUGGCGAAGGCGGGACUCUGGGCUGUAACUGACACUGAGGAGCGAAAGCAUGGGGAGCGAACAGGAUUAGAUACCCUGGUAGUCCAUGCCGUAAACGUUGGGCACUAGGUGUGGGGGACAUUCCACGUUCUCCGCGCCGUAGCUAACGCAUUAAGUGCCCCGCCUGGGGAGUACGGUCGCAAGGCUAAAACUCAAAGGAAUUGACGGGGGCCCGCACAAGCGGCGGAGCAUGCGGAUUAAUUCGAUGCAACGCGAAGAACCUUACCAAGGCUUGACAUACACCAGACCGGGCUGGAAACAGUCCUUCCCCUUUGGGGUUGGUGUACAGGUGGUGCAUGGUUGUCGUCAGCUCGUGUCGUGAGAUGUUGGGUUAAGUCCCGCAACGAGCGCAACCCUCGUUCUAUGUUGCCAGCACGUGAUGGUGGGAACUCAUAGGAGACUGCCGGGGUCAACUCGGAGGAAGGUGGGGAUGACGUCAAAUCAUCAUGCCCUUUAUGUCUUGGGCUUCACGCAUGCUACAAUGGCUGGUACAGAGAGAUGCGAGACCGUGAGGUUUUAGCGAAUCCCUUAAAGCCAGUCUCAGUUCGGAUCGUAGUCUGCAAUUCGACUACGUGAAGUCGGAGUCGCUAGUAAUCGCAGAUCAGCAACGCUGCGGUGAAUACGUUCCCGGGCCU
rnacentral:rRNA from 1 species